AUAAGCAUGGUGCACAGAGGAAGUCCUUGUCCUCCCUGAAGCGUCGACCCCGUAACCUCCCUGACAAACUGGCUGACUGACAGUGACAGCAGCGAUUCACUUUGAAGUGUGGAGUCAAGUCUCCUCUUUGUCUGCCCGAGGAGAGCGUGAUGGCGCACUUGACUGCGCGAGGGCGUACAUUUGUGCCCGCAGCGUGUGGACGCAGGCGCUGACUCGGCCUUUUUCCUUUCAGACACUCUGUAUAUAUUAUCCCUUUGUGAGAGCCCAAGCUGCUCUGCAUCUCUAAUGUGAGAAAAGUCUUCCAGGGACUGAGGACACCACAGCAUCCUCUGAUCCUGCGACGCGGGGCUUGUUUGGACCAUCAGAGGUUCUAAUCCUGAGCUUUAGUCUGAGUGAGACUAAGAUAAAGAGGGAUUAGGGACGGAUCUUUAUGGUCUCAGGAGGCUCCUCUUCAUCCUCUUCAUCCUGCUGCUCUGAGAUCAGCUGCUCUCAGUCUCACAUGUUUGAUGAGCUGGAUGCCAUAGCUCCGCCUUCAACCUCCGCCUUGUCCCUGGAUCAGUUAAUGGACUCAUCAGGCAGACACUCACCUGGCACAGAUUUGUCUCCAGGUCUGGCCGCUCUCACCGUCGCCUGUGACUCAGGGAAUCUGGGCUCGUUGUCCCGGGUCCAGCUGCUGCUCCUGGACCGAGCCGUCCUGGACUCUGGAACAUCACCGCCGAGCCUGGAGAAGGAGGAGGAGGAGGAGGAGGAGGAGCUCCGUCCAGGAUGGAGCUCAGGGAGUUUAGGUUCCCAUACAGACGAACGGGACAAAGAUUCAGCGGGAGGUGAGGGGCCCGAACACCGCGAGGUGCUGAGCGUGCUCGCCAAGCUGCAGCAGGAGACGCCACGUCAGGGCCAGGAGGGCCACAAGAGCCGGGAGGGCCACAACAGCCAGGAGGGCCACAACAGCCAGGAGGGCCACAACAGCCAGGAGGGCCACAAGAGUCAGGAGGGCCACAAGAGCCAGGAGGGCCACAAGAGUCAGGAGGGCCACAACAGCCAGGAGGGCCACAAGAGUCAGGAGGGCCACAAGAGUCAGGAGGGCCACAAGAGCCAGGAGGGCCACAAGAGCCAUGAGGGCCACAAGAGCCAGGAGGGCCGGGAACGCUCCAACUUUGAGGAUUUCGACUUUCUGUCCAAGUUUUGUAUCUUCAGCGGAGAGAAGUUAGCGGAGUACAGCAGAGUGUUCCAGACUGUGGACUUGGACCAGGACGGGUUCCUCUCUUUCCCACAGGUUUUAGAGGCACUUAAACGCAUCGUUCCAGCUGAGCUGCUGUCUGAUGAUGAACAGGUUUACGUCUACAGGAUCCUAGAGAUGGUUGACUUCAGGGUGAUGGAUGGACUGGUCGACCUCAGGCUGUUUGCCGUCAUCUCCAGCCUGGCUGAGAAGAUCUCAUCUAUGGAAUGGUCCUGUCUCCACAUGACUGUUCUUCAAUGUUCAUGUCUGUGUUCAACCACCUUCAGCUACAGUGGGGGUCCCCGCUCUCUGGGACCUUUAUUUUGGGGGUCGUGGCUUGAAAAGGUUGAGAACCACUGGUGUAGCGUCCAGAACUCAGACGGCAGCACAAAACGAGAGGACGUAAAUCAGGACAGCCUCAGCCUGGCUGAAAGGAAGCUCUCAGUCCAGACCUUGACCAACAGGACGUCCGUGGUCCUGUUGUGGUCCAGAGCCACAGACACUCAUAGGAGAUCACAGAUGCACAGAUUGUGGAAAAGGUGCUGAAAUGGGUGAAGAGUUGCAUAGAAGAGUGAAAAUAGGCUGGAAAUAUGAGGUUAAAAGUGACAAUAAUGGGUCAACAUAUGUGUCAUUAGGUAAAAAAGUGGUAGAAAGGUUUUUAUAAGUGCUGAAAAUGUCUGGAAAGUAGAAAAAAUGUGCAGAAAAGACAUUGAAAUGUGAUGGAGAAAUGUCAGAAAUGGGAGAAAUGUAGCAAAAAUACAUUAAAAGGAGCAAAAAUACAUUAAAAGGAGCAAAAAUAUGACAAGAAAAAGUGAUGAAAAUUGGUUAAAAUAUAGAAAGUUUGGUGUAGUUGCAGAAAAACGGUAAAAAUAAACAAAAAUUAGCUCAAAUUGUUCA
rnacentral:lncRNA from 1 species